rnacentral:rRNA from 1 species
GUGUCAGCCGCCGCGGUAAUACGGAGGGUGCAAGCGUUAUCCGGAAUCACUGGGUUUAAAGGGUGCGUAGGCGGUUUGAUAAGUCAGUUGUGAAAUACCCCGGCUUAACCGGCGGUCGUGCGAUUGAUACUGUCAGACUUGAAUCAGGUUGAGGUAGGCGGAAUGUGGCAUGUAGCGGUGAAAUGCAUAGAUAUGCCAUAGAACACCGAUUGCGAAGGCAGCUUGCUGGACCUAGAUUGACGCUGAGGCACGAAAGCGUGGGGAGCAAACAGGAUUAGAAACCCCCGUAGUCC